rnacentral:lncRNA from 1 species
AGAAGGGUAUAAUGGUAAAAUUAUAAUAAAUUGGGGGUAUAAAUAUCUUUUUUAAAACGUUAGGGGAAUUUUUAUCCCUUUACCUAAAGCGUUAGGGGUGUGCUUGUCCUUUUCCCUUUACAUAUUUCUGUUAACACUAUACACGUAAGAAGUUCACCUGUGGAAGCUUUCUUUAAAAUAACAUUAAUUAAUUUUAUAAGACCAAAAAUCCAAGAAUGUCUAAAAAUAAAAUGAUACAAAGUGUUUGUCAAUUUUGGGAGUUGCAAUAUUCAUCUUGUCGGGGGUGGGUAGGGGGUCCGCCUCCUUCACUUACGUUGCAGCGCUUACUUGAUGACGCUUUGUAUCAAUUUUCCAAUCUGACCCUGACAUUGUUUCUUUUUAAGGGCUUGCCUAUGGUAAUUGUAAUCUUGAGAUUAGGGUCCUCUCCCGAUCUUACCAUUCUUGAUCUUUUAAUACUAUUAUACCAUGUGUCAUGUAGUAAUAAUAAAUAAAUAAGAUUUAACUUUUUUAUAUUUUAAAUUUGGUAAUCACCAAUAAACACAUAAAUUUUUACUUAAGAGAAGAUUUUAAUCCGUAAUCUUUUUUUAAUAGUUUACGUUCAACUUGCAAUAUGCAUGCAUUUUCGAUUUAUAGCUUUAAAACAACUAACAAUUAAUUUGUAAUAUUAAAUACAAUAUAGAAUUGUACAAUAAAAUUAAAGGAUUAUACAUUGAAUUUUUUCUUUUUAUUUUUAAUGGUCUACAAUCUACAGAUAUGUACAAUUUAAAAUAGGAGUAUAAAUUUAUACAUUUUGCAAUUCAAUCCAAAGGUCUAUCGAGCAUAGUUUGAGAAUUUACAUAUAUUAGGAGGUGAAACCUGUACUCUAAUGUAUAGAAAAUAUAAUUCCAUUACUCUAUGCAAAGUGCUUGUUGAAUUGAACAAAUAGUUGCCAUAAUGACUCAAAUAAAAUGUUACUAUUUGUUG